rnacentral:rRNA from 1 species
GAUGAACGCUGUCGGCGUGCCUAAUACAUGCAAGUCGAGCGAACAGACGAGGAGCUUGCUCCUCUGACGUUAGCGGCGGACGGGUGAGUAACACGUGGAUAACCUACCUAUAAGACUGGGAUAACUUCGGGAAACCGGAGCUAAUACCGGAUAAUAUAUUGAACCGCAUGGUUCAAUAGUGAAAGACGGUUUUGCUGUCACUUAUAGAUGGAUCCGCGCCGCAUUAGCUAGUUGGUAAGGUAACGGCUUACCAAGGCGACGAUGCGUAGCCGACCUGAGAGGGUGAUCGGCCACACUGGAACUGAGACACGGUCCAGACUCCUACGGGAGGCAGCAGUAGGGAAUCUUCCGCAAUGGGCGAAAGCCUGACGGAGCAACGCCGCGUGAGUGAUGAAGGUCUUCGGAUCGUAAAACUCUGUUAUUAGGGAAGAACAAAUGUGUAAGUAACUAUGCACGUCUUGACGGUACCUAAUCAGAAAGCCACGGCUAACUACGUG